rnacentral:rRNA from 1 species
UACGAAGGGGGCUAGCGUUGCUCGGAAUCACUGGGCGUAAAGGGUGCGUAGGCGGGUCUUUAAGUCAGGGGUGAAAUCCUGGAGCUCAACUCCAGAACUGCCUUUGAUACUGAGGAUCUUGAGUUCGGGAGAGGUGAGUGGAACUGCGAGUGUAGAGGUGAAAUUCGUAGAUAUUCGCAAGAACACCAGUGGCGAAGGCGGCUCACUGGCCCGAUACUGACGCUGAGGUGCGAAAGCUAGGGUAGCAAACAGG